CGUACUAUCAGUCAUCUCAUCUAGCAGGCUGUUGCGGCUAAAGCUGUGUGAAAUUAAAGCGGCAUAUGCAGUAGUCUCGGAUAUAAAUGAGAUGGUAAUAACACGAAUUGCGACAGCGAAGACCUGACUGCUUAUAGUAGCACAUCCGCACCGCACCGGUUGUAGUGACGUCAACACGAUCAAAUCCUGGACGAAGUCUAACGUGACAAAAAUUACAGACUUUUAUUUCAUGAACAAACAUUUGAUGACACUGGCCAGACUGCCGCUGGCCUAGAACAAUUAGACAAAACGACGGCUACACGAUGGCACGUCUUCUUGAGGGAGCUCUUCGAGAGAGACUUGCAAAAAUGUUGACAGCUGUGAGUGACACGGAAAAAGAAAACCCUCCACUCUGGGGGAUGGGUGUGGUGGCAACAGCUAUUGCAGUCAAUUUUUUUGGAUCACUGGCACAGAAGGAACUGAAGGUGAUGAUCAUAGAUGACUACCCUGAUUCCAGCCAGACACUUCUGACCUUUGGUCUGGCACUACUGCAGAUACUGUCAGCUGUACUUGUUUUCCAAUCAAGUAGUAUCAGCUUUUCAGGCUCACCAACCAACAGGGAGGCAGCCAUCCUGGCAACGUUUGCUCAUGCUGGUUGGCUGUACCUGACUUCAUACCGACUAUGGGGACAGGACACGGGUGCUUCUGUGUCUUAUGGAGCCUUGGAGCCUAUCUUCUGCAUUCUACUUUUGUGUAUUGCAGCUGGGAUUCCAACAGAACUUUCCAAGGUAGGUGCCGUUGCCGCAAUCUGCCUUGGAACAGGAAUGAUGACUGCGACUUCUCAAUUUUGAUUGACAAGACAGCUUUAAUUAGGAUCAUAGCAGCUUUGUUCUGCCUUUCACGGAACAUGAUCAUCAAACACCUGUACGACAGCAACGUGAAAAUAUCCCUUCGCGGCCAGAACACCUUGCUUUCAGUUUUAGCCAGUGGAACUGUUACUGCUGUGCUCUUUGGGCUGGCUGUCUCAAGUACUAUGGUGGUACCAGCUAUGAUCAUAGUGGUGUCAUGUCUGUUGUCAGUGGUGUCGUUACACCUGACCUUCAUGCUGCUGUCUUUGUAUGAUAACACCACUGCAGUCGUCUUUAUGCUAUGGGCCCAGGUGGUGGACACAGUGGUGUUUGUCAGCUCUGUAUCACGACCAGACAUUUUGCUAAUCCCUGUGGGUGCAGUACUGUUCGCUUUAGGCCAUUACUAUUAUUUCAAGGAUGGUGUGGAGUCAGGUACCAUUCAUCUCAACAUGAAAAGAGGUGUCAACGAAAUGAUAACACGUCUUCAGUUUGUCCUGUAUGCCUGCAGUAUUAUUGCUCUGCUAGCCAUCGUUUUCCAGCCCAAACUUAGUGAGCGUGACAUAAACAUUCUCAGUUAUGUUGGCCUGGACAGGAUUGCUCGCAAACUGCUCUCUUUGAGUGCAGACCACCAAUGAAGUAUGGAGGUUUCCAGGUCUGGGGAUCCAGAAGUCUCAGUGAUAAAGCUUCUGUUGGUUUGGAGUACUGCUUUAGUUGUGGCAUCUGCAUUAAGAGAUCUGAUAUGUCAUGUAAUCUAAAUUUUGAAUCAGGGGAUGUAAUUGUGUAAUCUACACAGAUAUAAUUGAGUGCUUCAAGAGUGGUUGUUUUGACCUAAUACAUACAUUUUUCAAGUCUUAAGGCUUAAUCUUAUUGGUACGAUUGGAUUACCAUUGCAUGCAGAAAGUGUCUGGUGUUGUACAACUCUCCACCCUGACAUGAUUGAGCAUUAGACUCGUACAUUUUCCCGUAUAUAGAUCUCCAUAGACAAAGAAUUAUUUUGGUAAUAUGUUGAUACAAAUCAUUGAACUAUUCUAAUGAAAACCCAUGCACAUUUAAAUGUAGAAAAUCUGUCAAGAUCUCGUUUGCAUUACUUAUUUUGAGUAUAUGCAUGCAAAUGUUUUACUAUUUUGAGGGAUUUCUUGGUGAAAGAGUGGAUAUAUUAAGGUAUUUAUAAAUCAAGAUAUUCUUGUCAGGAUAUUCUGUGAAACUGCUGCUAUAAACUUUGUCUGUCAAAAGAUAACAUUAUUAUAACCAAGAGUGUUAUUUUUAAUUAAUAGUAACUAAUAGCCUUAUUAGUUUCAUGUCACAAAAACAGGACUGUUCUCAUAUGGUCAUUUUUAGUUUUUAUUUGAAUAGUUUUCACCAUAUCAGUAGGGUUAACAUAAUGGUAUUGGAAAGGUGGUAUGUGGUUGUUUAUACCUCGGUGUAGCACAGCUGUUCACGUGUGGUUAUUGGGUGAAUAGAACUGUAAAUAAUUUUGCUAACAAGAAGCACACUGCUACUGCACUAGGUAAAAGUAGUUGAGAGAAAAGGGUCUGUUUUGUAAUUGCUCAUUGCAGAGAUUGUUGCCAUUUAUUUGCUUUGUAAGACCAUGAUGGAGAGAUGUCAGCAUUUUGUACAAGUCGCUGUUAGUCUCAAAUAACAGAAAAGAAAAAUACUGUGAUAUUUAUCAGUCCUUAUACAGUUUUUGUGCAUUUAUAAAUGUUCUAUUAUAUUUUAUACAAAAGAGCAGUUUGAAAUGGCUGGUGUCAUUAUUAAUCAUGCCUCGUGUAUUUAUAUUACCUCAUGCCUCAUAAUGUUAUUUAAUGGCUAAAUUAUCCAUUUAUUUUACGAAAGAUUGGCUAGUUUUACACAAGAAGUUUAACCCUUCAACCAUGAGAUUGCCGUUUAUUGCAGACGCUGUCCAUGCACAUUCCUCUCCUAAUCUGCCAAGCUAUGUUCUGCAGCACUAGAGCUUCAUGGCCCUCGAUCAUUGUAGUAUGUCUUAACAAGCAGUGGAAAGCUUUACUAUGAUUUCCUGAAAUAUUUGAUAGUACAGUAUACAUUUAGAUUUAUAAUUUUUGUGGGUUUUUUUUAAAGGCAUUUAAAAAAAUAUUUAGCCAUCUGGUGGGCACUACAGUCUCUAUCUUACUGGUCGAGACACUGUAUUUUACAUUCAUUCCUUCAUUUCUUGACUGGUACAAGUUAUGUUUGUCCACUUGUACUGGUCUUUGGGACAUGGCACCUGACAAGCCUGCCAACUCAAGCUUAUCUUGAGCAGGGGCAAGCAGGCAAUGUGCAGAACGACCAGUCCACAUCUUCCAGUUUGUAAGCCAGUUCAUCCUCUCACCACCUUUGUUCCAAACUCCCUCUAAGGUAUCAUAGUGUCAUGCUAGGUCUAAUGGCUGAACUAGGUCAGCUUAUGCCAUUUUAUCUUUCAAAGUAAAGGUUCCUGGUGUCCUUUGAGUGUGGUGACCAUGCUUCGCCAGUAUUUUACAGUUUGACCAGAAUGUUUCAGAAAACUAUUUGGCUUACUCUUUCUCUUUUUCAACCAUGUUGACAGUGCAUUAAUGCAGGAUUUUUGUUUUCACUGGCUGUAUUUUACAUUGCCAACUGUGCUCAUUAGUACUAACAAACGAGAUAAUUUUGUAAAGCUUAAAUGUGGUUGUGCAAAGACAUCUUAAUUAAUCUUUAUUUCAUAUCAUCAUGUUAAUUGUCCUAAAAGCAACCUUGAAUGCUUCAGCUAUGAAUUUGUCAAAAUGACAGUGUGUUUGGGACAAUGGAUCAGAUGAAGUAGAUAAUCAAAUCAGACAAAUAACUUCAGUAUUUUUACAGCAGUGGAUUAAGAGGUAGCUAAAUGCAUAUACUUUUCUUUCAUUCUGAAUUCCUCAUUUUAAACUGCUUGUUUUGAAUGCAUGUCAGUUUCAGCUUUGCUAAAAAAUCAGAAACAACACAUAUUUCUGAUCAAAACUUGCAACAAGAAGCUUAUUUUGUUUAGAUUUGCUACUUGAUGAUGUAGACGUUUCAAUGGUUUGAGCAUUUAAUUCAUUUGAGGUGGUUCAUUAUACCUAAAAAAAAAUGUUUUCUUCUGUAAAUGACAAUCAGGAAACAUCUGACAAACAUUUUUUUUUUUUAAUAAAUACAGGAUGCAUAGUGAGAUGCAGAUUCUAAAAUGUUGAUAGCGAAACUAUUGAACUAGUAGGAUUUACUUCCCUUUGACUAUAGAUGGGCCAGUUAGUCUUAGAAAGUUACCUUCCCAUAGAAUACUCAGUUACCACCUGCUCUCAUUCAUAGUAGACUGAUGAGUAGACCUUGCGGGAAGUACAGAUACUUUUUCCAUGAUAGUGGGUAAUAGACAUUCAUAUCUUUUUUGACUUGUACCCUGUGACCUUUCAUAGUGCAUUUCUGUUGAAAUGAAUGAUUUAGAUAUUGAACAUUGAGUAUAAAUGUGACUACAAAAUAGAAAAUUCAAAUUCUUCAUCUGUAACUAUAAAAAAGAUUUAUUUUUACAUUUCAGUUUACUAAUGCAUUUGUUGAAAUUGACAUUUUUUGUAUCUUGACAUAAAUCCAAGACUAGUACCUUGAAUGAGCACCAAACAAUCUUUUGUAUAAAAGAAUGUUGAUUAGAAGGUACUUUACUGUUAAUAAAGGUCUGCUAUGCUGUUUCAACUUUACAAAGGUCACUGUGGCAAAGGUUUUAUCACAAAGUCUCAAAGACAGGCAAAAGAAGUGUAACCAGUUUUUGGUAUUCUUUUGAAAAAUGUUAUCUUCAUUCAGCGCCUUGCAGUGAACUGUUACAAAGGGUUUCACAUUUAACAUUAUUCGUCUUACAUUUUACAGCUUUUUCUCAAAAAAGAAUAUUGGAGAAGACACUGCAUGUGUUUCAGAUUUUUAUUUGCUAUAGGUUUGAUUAAAACUACAUUCUCAUCUACUCUGUAGUGGCAUUGUUAUAUAACUUGCUCUGUGGGAUGUUUGAGGGGAAUCAAGAUUUGCUGUGUACAAACUGUACAAAUACCUAAGGAAAUUUGAUGGCUGUUGAUGAAUUUGUGGUUGUGCUUCUAUCAGAGAACUUCUCAUCUGUGACAUGGUUGUAAAUCAAAAGUGAGCAAGAACUCCAUUUGAGACAACCUUUUUGGUUUUAAAGCAGCUAUUUUAUAUUUAUAUUCUGUUUAAUGGAAUUUGUGUUUAUAAUCCUCUGCUUGGUGUACAGUUCAUCAUUAAUUUUUGUCCUGCACAGGCUGUGUGAAACUCUCUCUUAAACAAAGCUUUGCACAAAUGAAAGGCCAAUGAGUAAGAUAGAGUUUUUGAAAGGGGGAAGAAAAUUGUGUAACAUUUUUUCAUCACUGCGUUUCAAGAGGAUAAGCAUCGUUUUUUAAAAAUUUAUCUCCUGGAAAAAAUUGCUAUUGUAAAAUGUAAAUGUUUGAAAGUGAACACAAAUUUUAAGCUUUACAGAUGUUUACAGUUUGACACAGUGAUACACCUAUUAGGACUUAUUUCUGCAAACACUUUGUUUUACAAACAUUUUGUGGGUUUUAAAUAAAGUAACAGGUUCAUG
rnacentral:misc_RNA from 1 species